rnacentral:rRNA from 1 species
CGCCAGACUCCUACGGGAGGCAGCAGUGGGGAAUAUUGCACAAUGGGGGAAACCCUGAUGCAGCGACGCCGCGUGAGUGAAGAAGUAUUUCGGUAUGUAAAGCUCUAUCAGCAGGGAAGAAAAUGACGGUACCUGACUAAGAAGCCCCGGCUAACUACGUGCCAGCAGCCGCGGUAAUACGUAGGGGGCAAGCGUUAUCCGGAUUUACUGGGUGUAAAGGGGGCGCAGACGGCGAUGCAAGCCAGGAGUGAAAGCCCGGGGCCCAACCCCGGGACUGCUCUUGGAACUGCGUGGCUGGAGUGCAGGAGGGGCAGGCGGAAUUCCUGGUGUAGCGGUGAAAUGCGUAGAUAUCAGGAGGAACACCGGUGGCGAAGGCGGCCUGCUGGACUGCAACUGACGUUGAGGCCCGAAAGCGUGGGGAGCAAACAGGAUUAGAUACCCCCGUAUU